GAAAAUGAUGAUUUAUUUGGAAUCUCGUUCGUCUGAACAGCUGUUGAGAAUGGAAUAUCUGAGGUCA
rnacentral:snoRNA from 1 species